GUUCUAAAAUUGAUUGUGGUGAUAAUUGCACAGCUUUGUGAAGAUACUAAAAAACCACUGAAUUGUAUUCUGUACUUUAAAUAGUGAUGUUCUAUGGCAUAUGAGUUAUGGCUCAGUAAAGAUUUUAUUAAAAGAAGAUGAAGAAGAAGGAGAAUAAAGUAGCAUCGUCUGCCCCCCCGCAACCAUAGAAGGAUUAAGGAUUUGGGGGAAGCAUUCCGUGCAGAGAGAAUAGGUAAUAGAAUCUGCCUCUAAGAAGAUUAGAAUCUAUCCUCACGGGCCACACCAUUUGGUGGGGGACACAGAGGCAUAAAUCACUUGCUCUGGGGAUAGCCAGCUGACAUGUUGUAAGGACACUGAAGAAGCCUUAUGGAAAGGUCCACAUGGUGAGGAUCCUAAGUAUCUGGCCAGUAGCCAGGAAGGACCCGAGGCCUCCUGCCAACAGCCAUGUGUGACUGCAGCAAGCAGCUAGCAUCACUAGAAAGAAGAAACAGAGAAAAGAUGCUGGAAUUGCUAAAACACAGAAGCUUGGAGGAGGGGUCUCCUGGUGCUAGGUCCCAGAUCUCUGAGGAGGGGCACUGCUUGGCUCGGUCUGCUGUCUUUGAGAGGGUGCCAUGAAGCUAGUUCUGAGAGUGUUGGAAAAGCUGCAAACUGGCUUCAGCUGCUGCUUCAAGAAGGAAGUGUCACUGCCAACGUGAAGAAGCAUUGCUAGGGUGAUGGUCGCAGGAACAACAGCAGAGUCUAAUAGGAAGACAGCUGGCCAUGCCCAAAUGUCACUUUCAGAGCACCAAUGCCAGCUCCAGAUCAUGGACUUCAACCAGGAAAGCAGGAGAUCGGUAGGAUUUGUAUUCAGCUGUGGACGCAUACUUGACAAGCCAGGAGACUAUGUGAAAAGAAAAGGAGUCACCACUACAAGCAACCAUAAAAUUUACUUACAAAAGCAGGCAAUAGGCUGGAUUUGGUUUGCAAACCAAAGCUUGUGAAACUUGGAUACAGAAAAGUGUCAGAUAACCAUGACCUCUUUCCUUAACAUCUGUAUCCAAAUCAGCUCACAGCAAGAAUGAUCAUAUUGCCACUUUCCUUGGCCCAGCAUGUCGUUUCCACCCGGAGCCCCUCAACCUUAAGAGACUUCAGAGAUGCCUGCAUGUCAUAACCACUUGUUUCCCGCUGGGACAUCCAGAAGGGCAGGGUAAUUAUGGACUUUGCCCAUUAGCCACCAGAGACUAAUGCUUACUAACAGAGUCUGAGCACCAUGAUGUUAUAAUUCUGAAACUCUAAAAUGCAGUAAGAAAGGAGACUUGGGGAAAAUCUUUUUAAUUUGGUACCUAACUUUCUAUCCACACUGCAAGGCAUUUGGGAUCAGAGAUUUGAUUCUCUUUAUGAAGCCCUUCUAUAUAGAGAAUCACAUCCUACCUUUAUAUUGCAGCCUGAUACACCAGAGAAUUAAUUUUAUUAUUAACAUUAUGCUUUAAUUUUAGACAAAGAAUACAUUUUGAAACAAAGAAGGACCAAGAAAUACUACAAUUUGGAUAAGAAACAGUCUCCUUUAAUAGCAUGUUACAAGGAAAGAAAAACUUUGCCAAAUAUUUCCCUUACCUGGUUACUCCACUCUUCCCAAGAUAGUAAAUUCAGGGAGGAAAAAAAAAAAAAGAAGGAUAAAGUCUGAU